rnacentral:rRNA from 1 species
UACAGAGGUGGCAAGCGUUGUUCGGAAUUACUGGGCGUAAAGCGCACGUAGGCGGACCAGCAAGUUAGGGGUGAAAUCCCGGGGCUCAACCCCGGAACUGCCUUUAAAACUGUUGGUCUGGAGGUCGAGAGAGGUGAGUGGAAUUCCGAGUGUAGAGGUGAAAUUCGUAGAUAUUCGGAGGAACACCAGUGGCGAAGGCGGCUCACUGGCUCGAUACUGACGCUGAGGCGCGAAAGCUAGGGGAGCAAACGGG